GAUUCAAAUGUGAUUAAGGGAACACAUAAUGAAAAUUUAAAGCACCAAACUUAGGAGCACCCUACUGUAUCAAUCUAGAGAAUGCAACUGAGAAGCAUAAAUAAGGUAAUUCAAAUGAGAUAUCCUUAAAAUUACAAUAGAUCACCAAAUGAGUAAAACAUGUAGACAUGGUGAAGGCAAAAUAAUGAUAGCAACGAAUAUAAAACAAGGAUAUAAGACUUAUCGAAAAUCUCAAAUAAGACAUUAACCCUUUAGAGAUGUUAUAAGUAAGACAUUAACCUUUUUGAGAUGUUAGCAAUUCCUUAUCGAAAAUCUCAAAUAAGACUUCUCAUAUAUGAUAAAAGAGCAAAAACUAAAUAUAAAAAAAAAGAACUAGAAACUAGCAUUUAGACAAAGUCAUCUAAUAAGACCAAAAUAAAUUUGUUUCUCAUGAUUUUUAGCCUAUUCAUGAUCAAAUACAAAGUAGCUGAACUAUAGUAAUCACAUAUCAACGAAUUAUCUAUUGCUAUACACAUUACAAAUCAUACUAUAUAAAUAUGUUUUCCAAAUAAACUAACAGAAUGGCAAAUCUAACCAUUUCAUAUUAACAGACAAUAGAAUAGCAUAUGUUUUAGACUUAUGAACGAGAUUAUCCAAUACGAACAAGAUUUAUUCAAUGCCUACAAAUAUAUUUGAAAGCUAAGGAGAAAGAACAAACGAAAACAACCUCCAAAUCAUAC
rnacentral:lncRNA from 1 species